rnacentral:rRNA from 1 species
GACGAACGCUGGCGGCGUGCCUAAUACAUGCAAGUCGAACGCAGUGGGGACGGGUGAGUAACACGUGGGUAACCUCCCAUCAGAGGGGAUAACACUUGGAAACAGGUGCUAAACCGAUACUGAUGGAUGGACCCGCGGUGCAUUAGCUAGUUGGUGAGGUAACGGCUCACCAAGGCCACGAGGCAGAGCGGGCCGGAGAGGGUGAGCGGCCACACUGGGAGUGAGACACGGCCCAGACUCCUAGGGGAGGCAGCAGUGGGGAAUCUUGGGCAAUGGGCGAAAGUCUGACGGAGCAACGCCGCGUGGGUGAAGAAGGUUUUCGGGUCGUAAAGCUCUGUUGUUAGAGAAGCGGUAUCUAACCAGAAAGCCACGGCUAACUACGUGCCAGCAGCCGCGGUAAUAC